rnacentral:hammerhead_ribozyme from 1 species
ACCCAGUUGACGAGUCCCAAAUAGGACGAAACGCGUGUGCUGGAU